rnacentral:rRNA from 1 species
UGAAUACGAGAUGCUACGGCGUCGAAGCAGUCUAUGUCAUACUUCCAAGAAAAGCUUGCACUGUCAUAAACAAAUAAUGCCUGUACCAUAACCGACACAGGUGGGUAGGUAGAGUAUACUAAGGGGCGCGAGAUAACUCUCUCUAAGGAACUCGGCAAAAUGACUCCGUAACUUCGGGAGAAGGAGUGCCUUAUUUAUAAGGUUGCAAUAACAAGAUCCAAGCAACUGUUUACCAAAAACACAGGUCUCCGCUAAGUCGUAAGACGAUGUAUGGGGGCUGACGCCUGCCCAGUGCCAGAAGGUUAAAGAAGUUGGUUAGCAUCCGCGAAGCUGAUAACUGAAGCCCUGGUGAACGGCGGCCGUAAUAUAACGGUCCUAAGGUAGCGAAAUUCCUUGUCGGGUAAGUUCCGACCCGCACGAAAGGCGUAAUGAUUUGGAUACUGUCUCGGAGAGGGGCUCGGUGAAAUAGACUUGUCUGUGAAGAUGCGGACUACCUGCACCAGGACAGAAAGACCCUAUGAAGCUUUACUGUAACCUGAAAUUGAAAUUGGACUUUACUUGCGCAGUAUAGGUGGGAGGCGUUGAGAAUAUUCUUGCGGGAUUAUUGGAGCCAUCAGUGAGAUACCACUCUUGUAAUGUUAGAUUUCUAACUUUGUAUCAUUAUCUGGUCAAAGAACAGUUUCAGGCGGGCAGUUUGACUGGGGCGGUCGCCUCCUAAACGGUAACGGAGGCGCACAAAGGUUUCCUCUGAACGGGUAGAAAUCGUAUCUAGAGUGUAAAGGCAUAAGGAAGCUUGACUGUGAGACCUACAAGUCGAGCAGGGACGAAAGUCGGUCUUAGUGAUCUGACGGUGCUGAGUGGAAAGGCCGUCACUCAACGGAUAAAAGUUACUCUAAGGAUAACAGGCUGAUCUCCCCCAAGAGUUCACAUCGACGGGGAGGUUUGGCACCUCGAUGUCGGCUCAUCGCAUCCUGGGGCGGUAGUACGUCCCAAGGGUUGGGCUGUUCGCCCAUGAAAGCGGUACGCGAGCUGGGUUCAGAACGUCGUGAGACAGUUCGGUCCAUAUCCGGUGUAGGCGUUAGAAUAUUGAGAGGAGCCUUCUUUAGUACGAGAGGACCGAGAAGGACAUACCUCUGGUGUACCAGUUAUCGUGCCAACGGUAAACGCUGGGUAGCUAUGUGUGGAGUGGAUAACCGCUGAAAGCAUCUAAGUGGGAAGCCCACCUCAAGAUAAG